rnacentral:tRNA from 1 species
UAGCUCAAUUUGGACAGAGCAUCUGACUACGGAUCAGAAGGUUGGGGGUUCGAGUCCCU